rnacentral:rRNA from 1 species
GGGUCAGUAGGUUGGUCGUGCCACCGGUACGUACUGGUCUCACUGAUUCCUCCUUCCUGAGGAACCGUAAUGCCAUUAAUUUGGUGUUGCGGGGAAACAGGACUGUUACUUUGAAAAAAUUAGAGUGCUUAAAGCAAGCUAACGCUUGAAUACAUUAGCAUGGAAUAAUAAAAUAGGACGAUCGAUCCUAUUUUGUUGGUUUCUAGGAUUGACGUA